AUCACUUCUCAGCAUUUUGGCUAAGAUCAAGUGUAGUAUCUGUUUUUAUCAGUUUAAUAUGUGAUAUGUCUUCUACCCAAAUGCACAUCAACAGAUGGCUGGAUUAACAAAAUGUGGCACAUCCAUGCAGUGGGAUAUUGUCUAGCCUUUAGAAGGAAUGAAGGAAUGCUGGCAUUCCUCCUUUCUUUGGGAUGCCAUGUCAUCUCCCUGCUCUGCCCUCUUCUC
rnacentral:snRNA from 1 species